UACGUAGGGGGCAAGCGUUGUCCGGAAUCAUUGGGCGUAAAGCGCGUGUAGGCGGCUCGGUAAGUCUGCUGUGAAAGUCCAGGGCUCAACCCUGGGAUGCCGGUGGAUACUGUCGAGCUCGAGUCCGGAAGAGGCGAGUGGAAUUCCUGGUGUAGCGGUGAAAUGCGCAGAUAUCAGGAAGAACACCCGUGGCGAAGGCGGUUCUCUGGGACGGUACUGACGCUGAGACGCGAAAGCGUGGGGAGCGAACAGG
rnacentral:rRNA from 1 species